GCUCUGCCACUGACCAUGUGUGUGACCUUGGGCAAGUCAUGUCACCACUCUGUGCCUCCAUUUCCCCUUCCACCAUUUCUUUGCCUCUGUCUAUCUAGAUUGUAAAUUCUCUAAGGCUGGGACGGUCCCUCACUGGGUAUAUGUAUAGUGCCUACCAUAAUGGGUGUGGUCUCAAUUAGGGCCGGUGCAUGUUUGUGUCUGUGAUAUAAAGUCACUGACUUCAUGAGUGUAGACAGGCAGAAAUCAUGUAAGCCAUGUGUCUUUCAUUUUAAAUUUCCUAGAGCAAGUGUCCCUUCUUGUGACAGGCUGGAUUGCUCUGUGCAACUGCUCUCACUUCACUAGUGACCAUACUGUAAUGAGAGCAAGCCCUGGUAUACUACGUAGUGUGUGUGUGUGUAACCAGUCUGUAUUCCAAACCUGGACUGCAAAAAAUAUAGGCCCUGAAUCUGAUCUCACUCAUUUAUUUUUGUUCCCACAGCAGCAGGAUUUCAUUCAGCAUUCAUGGGAUCAGCUAGCAAGAUUCACACAUUCUGUCUAUCUGCAAACUUUCCUCGGGAUCAGGGGCGGCAGAAAGAACUUGGUCAUUUCUUUUUAAUCAGUCUACCAAUUGGUCCUACACUCAUCACUGAGACUUGGAAAG